rnacentral:tRNA from 4 species
GCGGACGUGGCGGAAUUGGUAGACGCGCUAGAUUUAGGUUCUAGUGCCGCAAGGCGUGAAGGUUCAAGUCCUUUCGUCCGCA